rnacentral:rRNA from 1 species
UACGUAGGAUGCAAGCGUUGUUCGGAUUUAUUGGGCGUAAAGGGUGCGUAGGCGGCUAGUUAAGUCUGGUGUGAAAGCUAGGGGCUCAACCCCUGAGUUGCACUGGAAACUGGCUGGCUUGAGGAUGGUAGGGGAAGGUGGAAUUCCGAGUGUAGCGGUGAAAUGCGUAGAUAUUCGGAGGAACACCGGUGGCGAAAGCGACCUUCUGGGCCAUUGCUGACACUGAGGCUCGAAAGCUUGGGGAGCAAACGGG